GACGAACGCUGGCGGCGUGCUUAACACAUGCAAGUCAAGGGGGGCCAGCAAUGGUCAACCGGCGAACGGGUGCGUAACACGUGAGCAAUCUACCGAUUUGUGGGGGAUAGCCGGCCCAACGGCCGGGUAAUACCGCAUACGAUCUUCGGGAGGCAUUUCCUGAAGAUGAAGCCUACGGGGCAAAUCGAGGAGCUCGCGGCCUAUCAGCUAGUUGGUGAGGUAAUGGCUCACCAAGGCGAUGACGGGUAGCUGGUCUGAGAGGAUGGCCAGCCACAUUGGGACUGAGAUACGGCCCAGACUCCUACGGGAGGCAGCAGUGGGGAAUAUUGCGCAAUGGUCUAACGACUGACGCAGCGACGCCGCGUGAGGGAUGAAGCUCUUCGGAGUGUAAACCUCUGUUGCCAGGGACGAACAGCUGAAUUCAUUCAGCCUGACGGUACCUGGGUGAGGGAAAG
rnacentral:rRNA from 1 species